UGCAGGUCAAACGGUGGCAGCAGAAACAGAGCCCAGGUCUGAUAUGGGGGGACAGUAAUCCUCCCAUCAGCAUCCCCGUCCAGGGCCAGGUGACCAUGACGUUCAAAUGCAAAGAAACAAGGGGUGCCUCCUCCAUGCCCCUGUAUCUAUUCAGUCAGCACCCAACACCCACCCCUGGGUGCCCUUGGUGUCUGAGAGGGAGGCAAAUUGGUGUUUUGACAAGAUCUGGAUUCCACAGUCACAGAAACCUGGGGGUCUCUGCUUCAGCACCCUCUUCUCUGGAAAUUGUCCCCUUCUUACCAGUGCUGUCCUGGACGAUGCUCACCUUCAGCCCCAGAAGGAAGUAAGGGAGGGAGCAGAGUGGCCGGCAGCCCAGAAUGAGAGCGCCUGCUGACCCCCGUCAUGCAAAGACUUUCAGGCUAAGGACACCCCACCUGCGGCGUCACUCAGGCAGGACUGAGAAGAGGGGCAUGCACAGAAUUGGCUCUUAAAGAAAGCAGUCCCCUGGUUCUCUCCAUCACCACAGCGUGUUUCUAAGAACUUUCCCAUUCUGUAAUCACGUGGUUAUUUUGUCUGCUCACUCGCCUUCACGGCUAUCUUCUCUGUGACAUUGGAAGCUUGGUGACAGCAAAAAUUUUACUGUCCUUGUCACACUCCCUUGUGCCUGGCUCAGGGUCUGGCAUGAGGGACAAUAAAACCUAAAGGGAUGAAUCAGUGAAACUCCCUCUGAGGUUAUUAACUGGUUAUUUCACCAGCGGUUAGGAAAAGAUGUACCAAUGGCCUAUAGGCACUAGUACAAGUUCAUUAAAAACACUUGUAGGUGAUUA